rnacentral:lncRNA from 1 species
UGGAAAUCCAUCCCAGGAUGGUUGUUUCUUAUUGGUGAUUUUCCUGCUUGGUUGCAAUGAAGUAUUCGGCAGUAUUUGAAAUAAAGAAAACCAACCAGCUGGUAGUCUGAGUUCUUAGAGAUAGGAAACACUUCUAUAAAUAAUUCCAACAUGCUCUAACUGUCCUCCUUUCUGUCUAAGAUUCUACUGACGAGAAAGCCUGUUGCUGAUCCUCGAACGGCUCCUAGUGAAGGAUGUCAGAUAAUUGACUCCCGAGCCACAUUUUGAAGAGAGACGUGCUGGUCCUGAAGUAUGGUGAAUUCACUUCCAGGCAUAAAGAAAAGAAAGAGCAGGAAAUAUAAUUUGGGAGAUUUUAAUGGCCAGACUUGGAAGUGGUGUGCAUAACUAUUGUCUGCAUUCAGAACACCAUCAUUUGCCCCAGGUUGCUGGAAGAGAAGCAGGAAAAGUAUCCUCAUGUGAGCCCAGGAGGUUUGGGUCUGGUCUUGGUGCAAGAAAGCAGAGACAUUUCAAGGUGAGGUUGUUACUCAGCAAGGGCUUGCCACCCUAUAUGCACAGAAACCAAUACAAUGGCAUACUGGUCUUUGAAAGAAGUUUAUCGCACCAUGGAUUGGCAAGGAAACAGAAGGACCGGCUCUCAAUUAUGUCGCCACCAUCCAGAGUAUAAGGAUCAGGACUGAUCAGAAGCUCAUUCCUAGACAUUUGCUACUGUUUGGAGAUCUGAAGAGGGCUAAAUUCCUGAUCUAACAAGAGAGUUCCGUCUUCGAGUUUCCCCUUGGUGAGAGUCGCUAUCUGUGGACUAUUCAGACUGUGGAGAAUCAGCUGCGGUAACAUGCCUGGGCCACACCCAUGGCAAAUCCAGCUCCUGGAUGGAGGAACUUUCCCUGUUGGUUUGUCUGCCAGUUGGUAAACGCAAUUGAGUGGAAAAUCAAAUGGCAACUAAUGUUUUUUCCUCAACAGAGACCACCAAAGGAAAAAAAAAAAGCCAUUAAUCUUUCCUGUGUUAAUUGAGAACACUGGACGCCAUUAUGAAACCAUUUCCUUUGGAGUCACGCUAUUCAUUUGAAUCCCAGUUCAAGUUUGUUGAAAUUGUAAUGAUAGUAGGCAUUAUCAUGUCACAGGGUACCAAAUUCUAACCUGAUUUCUUUUCAUUCUACAUGGUUCAUAAAGCAAAAGAAAUUCUGAACAACCAAUGGUGCUGGUUAUAAUUGGUAUACGGGUAUAUAUUUUCAGGAGAAGAAAAUGUUCUGAUUACAAAAUACUGCAUUAGUAAUUCACUAAGUUUUUUCUUCACUGUGCUAUUAAAG